CAGCAGCCGCGGUAAUGCGAAGGGGGCUAGCGUUGUUCGGAUUUACUGGGCGUAAAGGGCGCGUAGGCGGACUGAUAAGUCAGGGGUGAAAUCCCAAGGCUCAACCUUGGAACUGCCUUUGAUACUGUUUGUCUUGAGUUCGAGAGAGGUAAGUGGAACUGCGAGUGUAGAGGUGAAAUUCGUAGAUAUUCGCAAGAACACCAGUGGCGAAGGCGGCUUACUGGCUCGAAACUGACGCUGAGGCGCGAAAGCGUGGGGAGCAAACAGGAUUAGAUACCCCUGUAGUCCCUGUCUCUUAUAC
rnacentral:rRNA from 1 species